GUCUGCAGAUCUGUGAUGACAGCGUCUGCAGCGGAAGUGAACAUGUUACGUAUUAUAGUGAGAGUGUUCUUGUUGAUUGUUUCACUUGUUGCAGUACUAAAACGAGCCUGCAAGUGGCAGUUCUUAAAGAAACACACACACUUCAACAGGUGCCGACUCCAUGAUGAACAUGCAGCAGGACUGACUGGGCUCUCUCAUUGUGGCUCACUCAGCAGGCCAUCCACAAACACAGAUGUGCUGGUGAAGUUGUGUACACUCCACGUGCGCCCCUCAUCCACGCUGAACCUGAG